UUCACUCCUCUGCUGUCUCCAUCAGUAGCUCAACCUUCCUGUACUUUCUGGAAUAGGUUGUGUAAAUUCCAUGUUAUUUCUUCCUCGAACAUUUAAUGAGAUUUCCCCUGUGAAAUAAUGCGGGCCCAGUGUUUUCUUUGUGGUAAGGUUUUGGAUCAACAGCUUAACGUUUCGGAAGGUAUGAGGCUAUUUUCGUGUCGGUUUUGAUAAUCUGAGUUUUUCAGGGGACAGCAUUUCAUCUGCAUUGUCCAUUUUGUUCACAUAAGGUUAUUCCUAGCGUUCUCUUUCAAUUGUCUUGAUAAUCAUGCAAUCUGUAAUGAUAAUCCCUCUUCCUGUUCUGAUGUUGGUCAUUUGUGAUCUCUCCCCCCUGUUUAUCUUAAGCAGUCUUGCUUGGCACUUGCUAGUUCUGCUAACCUUCUGAUCAGAAUAACUGACUUUUAGUUUUGUGGAUGAUUUUCAACUCCAGUGAUGUCAGCUCUUAUCUCAAUGAUUUCUCUCUCCCGCUUAUUUUCAGUCAAUUUUCCUGGCUUUUAUCUCACCUCUGGAAGUGGAAUUGUAGGUAAUUGAUUUUAGGCCUUUUUUUUUUUUUCAUUUCUGAUAGAAGCCUUUAAAGCUCUGGAUGUCCCUCCAGAAAGAUCUAUGAUGAGGGAAAGAGGAAGAAAAACCAAAACAGCGCGUUCUUUGGGUAGCAAAGCAGGGGGAGGAUUUCAUUUGGGUUAGGAGCAAAGCGCUCUCUCUUGCUUAUAGGAGGGGGAAGGCGAAGAAGGGUGGUGAUGAAUGAAGGCUUACGGAUCUGCUGACGAGAACCUGAGAGCAUCUCCGUGGGAUGGCUUAUAUUUCCCCAGCAUGCAUGAGGGAGAACACCCACUAAGUGUGUGGGAGGGGAGAGUGGGGAAGAUCUGAGCAAAAAGGAAACCAUGGAAUAGUCGUGGCAGGGUGGGGAGGAGGGGAGUUGGUAAGGAAGGACAACAGAUGCAUCAGGCAGAAGGAAGGGCUUGCGUGGGGAUAACAGGCUGUGAUUUUUAAAGCAAAGCCGUUAACCUGGUGUGUGAUUUUCUACACAGAGCUCAGCUGCUCCUGUGACAAUAUGGAGGACACAGCUAUGGGGGUCCAGCCAGGACUGUGGUUUACCAGUCUGGGUUCGGUCUUUGACCUCUGAAUCCCAGCGCCAUCGCUGAUCUCCCGUGGGACCUCUCUACUGCUUGUUCUCCGCAUCUGUGAAAUGGGGAUGAUCAUGGUACCCACUUCACGGGAAAGUCACGGGGAUUAAAUUAAUUAACGAUAUAAAGCGCUACCCAUGCUAUAAAA